GUUCAGUUCUAUUACAAAGAGAGCAAUUUUACAAGUGUUUAGGGCUAGUUACGCUGUUGACUCCGAGGGUUGUAGGAAUGGUAAGGUCUUUCUUGGUGUAGCACACUGCUACAGCUUUUAUAGAACAGUUUAAUGGAUAAAUACUGAAGCCAGAAAAAUUGCGUGGUGCUUGUGAUUUAGCAUGACUUCUUGAACAGUCUAAAGCUGACCAUACAUCGCUAGAUCCGAAUAUAGGCCCAAUCUAACCACCCACAUUCUGGGCCAAAUUGGCCCAUGAUCUUAGUCAAUUUUCUGUACUUUGUAAUCAAAAUGUCUCUGAUUCAUUUUACUUUACCAGCACCACCCUUUUCUCCUCAUAUUCUAAAUUAUACUGAACAUGGCACUCUCCAUGAAUUUCUUUCCAAUCAAAGAACUUUCAAAAUGAGGCCUCAACACAAAUUGAAUAUAGUAUAGUUCAAUAUAUAGUUUCUAAUCUUUUUUUUUAUUAUAUUAUUAUAAUGCCAUGUGAUUUCAUGCAGUAGUAGAGAAGCAUUUCUAUAAACUCCCCACCCCUCAAGCAAGAUAUUGGUUGCUAUACUAACUAUAGUUUACUUUGUCUGGACAAACAUAGUGCCUUUUAUUACAUAUGCGGGAAAAUGUGGUGUAAAGCUGUAAUCGCUUUCAGUAGAAAGAGAAUGAACUAAAAUCUGAAUUGCCAAAUCCUUUCCAGUACCAUAAUUAUAUGGCACAAAAAACAGUAAGGACCCUUUUUGUGUGCUAACAUGUUUGUACUUGCAGUGUUGCAGUGAUUAAAUAGUCUGUGAUAAGGUAUUUACCAUUUUUAAUGCUCCAGGAGUGUGAUUUCCUCCAUGAGCCAUUGCACUUAGACUUGCAUAUAUUAUUUCAUUGUGUAGGUAUUAAUAGUUUUGGUAAUAUAGUUUUGAUGUCACUGAUUUCUUCUCAACACACACAUAUCAUAUUUAAUUUAGUGAAGCUGUGGUCACAGACUCCAGGUUGCAAAUGUCAUUAAAUAAAGCCCCAUCUGUAAUAAAAGGCACCAAACUUGCUCAGGUAUAGUAACCCAUAAUAACCUAUGAGAUUUGUGUUUUUAAACAGAUGUCCAGUAACCUUGUGUUAUCUGCAGGACCUUUUGACCCUGAGGUGAAUGAAGUCGUUACUUAGGCUUAAAACAUUACAAUGAAUUUAUUCCCAAACUUGAUAUUCCAGUUUUGAGAAAUUGUUGUUACAUGUUUCAAAUAUGCUGUAGGUACAGUUGACUCCUUUUUCACUGCUUUAAAAUAAAAUUCAAAAAGCAGGUGUCUGCCAGUGUAAUAAUUUACAUAAUAGCCUUAAGCUUUUAGACGCCCACAUUUAUGUCCUUAAUCGGUUCAUUGAUUUGCUUAUGCUCUUUCAUUGUAUAAGAUGACUACAUCUUUGUUUUAUUAUUCCUGAUUAUAGAAAACUUAUUUUGUAGAAAAACUGUGAGCAUGUGUUUUUUCAAUUAUUUUGGAUAUUUAGUCCAGAAUAGAAUGGACCAUGGUCCCACCUAAUGCUUCAUUGGCCAUAUACUGGGAAAGCUGCUGACUCUGCUCCUCCAGAUUGAGAAAGCAGUUAAUGGCACAAGUAUGGAGGUCUCAUCCAUACAUUGAUGCAGAUUUCUCUACAUGAAAGGACCAUGGGAUCAACCCAAUUUGGUCUAAGUGGGUGGUCAAAUUGGGGAACAAUCUGAAUUUUUUUUAGUGUUGGUGUGGUGCUUCAUGCAAAGUGAAACUUGGCACAAGUGCUCUGUUGAUAAGCAUGCUCCUUAGUACUUUUAGCUUUUCCAUCCAGGGGUUUCCUAAAUGACCCCUUGUGCUCUGUGGGCCCAGGCCUAUUUGCCCUCCAGUCUAGUGCUCUUGCACUUCUGCCAUUUGUCGUCACAAAUGA